UGUGAACAUUAAGAUACUUUCAUUAAACGGUGGGUCCUUCUAUCUACUAUAAUGGGCUUGAUUUCUUAUUUUUAUAGUCUUUAAAACGGUGGGUUUUUAGUUCAAUCUUUAGACUUUUGUCUCGAGGACUUGGCACAGACAGAGGACGAAAAAGAAAAUUUAUACAGGUGGAGAAACUAAAAGAUGAGAUGGACCAUGCUUGACUCCGUCUCUUAACUGUGUUCUUAAAUUUUCUUAGAUUUUAAUUAAAAAAACUAAAAACUGUCUCUUAAAUAAGAGAUAUAAGAGUCCUCU
rnacentral:lncRNA from 1 species